CUUUCCCCUAGCUCUGGAGUUUCACAAUUCUCAUUGAUCAGUGAACUUCAUCUUGGUCGGAUGUUCUUGCUAAUCUUCCGGGGGAGGGGCCUGUUGCUGUGAUUCUCAAAUGUCUUUGUCCGAGGUGGAAUUGCACUGCCCUCGCCAGGGGUCAGGCUAAAUAAUCUGCUUGGGUUCGCUCUCAGUAGCUUUUGUUCCCUGAAUGCUUUCUGUAUUGCUUUGGAGGAUGGGAAUGAAAAUGGCGGCCACCCAAUCUCUGGCCCCAUAGAAGCCAAGAGCUCAGGGCCCCACUCCUCAGUGCACCUUCAGAGGGGGUCUGCUUUGAAGACCAGCAAGCCACAUGCCAAAAGCCAUGUGCCUGACCUGCUGUAGCCUGGACUGGCUCCCUUGUCUAGCAACCACUGUCCCCAUGGAGGAGUUGGAAGAAUCCACAUGGCCUAAAGCAAACAAGCGUGAACACAUGCCAAGAUACUUCAUGGAAUGUGUGGCUGCGAGUCUGGCCCGGGCAAUGAAAGGAAACAGACGAGUCUGGAUGGUCCUGUUAGGAAAACCUUGCUCGGACAGAGUGGAGCUUGGAGUGUUUUCUCUGAUGGAGAAACAGCUGUGA
rnacentral:lncRNA from 1 species